AGAGUUUGAUCCGGCUCAGAUUGAACGCUGGCGGCAGGCCUAACACAUGCAAGUCGAACGGUAGCACAGAGAGCUUGCUCUCGGGUGACGAGUGGCGGACGGGUGAGUAAUGUCUGGGAAACUGCCUGAUGGAGGGGGAUAACUACUGGAAACGGUAGCUAAUACCGCAUAACGUCGCAAGACCAAAGAGGGGGACCUUCGGGCCUCUCACUAUCGGAUGAACCCAGAUGGGAUUAGCUAGUAGGCGGGGUAAUGGCCCACCUAGGCGACGAUCCCUAGCUGGUCUGAGAGGAUGACCAGCCACACUGGAACUGAGACAUGGUCCAGACUCCUACGGGAGGCAGCAGUGGGGAAUAUUGCACAAUGGGCGCAAGCCUGAUGCAGCCAUGCCGCGUGUAUGAAGAAGGCCUUCGGGUUGUAAAGUACUUUCAGCGGGGAGGAAGGCGAUGGGGUUAAUAACCCUGUCGAUUGACGUUACCCGCAGAAGAAGCACCGGCUAACUCCGUGCCAGCAGCCGCGGUAAUAGAGUUUGAUCCUGGCUCAGGCCCAGCAGCCGCGGUAAU
rnacentral:rRNA from 1 species